CCACAGCACAGCUGACAGGGUUUCAGUUAGCAUCCUCAGCUUCAAGUCUGCGUUUCUUUAUCUGGGGGGAGGCAGUGGUCCGCUGGGUGAGUUGACGUCUCUUUGGCUGGGGAGGGCGAUUGUACCCCAACCACAACGCUGGGAAAGGAUUAUCCUUGGUUGGUUUUUGGUCAACAAAGUGAUAGGAACAAACAAAAACGUUGCGGGGUGGUUUCUUUAAAUUCAAUGCCUUCAGCCAGGUCCUUGAUUCCGAGUCGGUAUCAGGCUUGCGAAAAAAUGUCAACAAUGGAGCGCAUGGACAUUGCCUCUUCGUAGCUGGUUUGUGGUCGUAGCACUCUCUAUCUAACCACUCGUUCAGGUGCUUUCUCGAGUGAUUGCAACCAACUACCGCACACGUAGUUCCCGAACCACUUUUCUUCAUGUUGUAAUUGUUAUAUCCUCUUUGUCUCUGCGAUAUCAGUGCUUUGUCGGCACAACGGAGCUAGCUAGCAAAACAAA